AGCGAACGCUGGCGGCAGGCUUAACACAUGCAAGUCGAGCGGGCCCUUCGGGGUCAGCGGCGGACGGGUGAGUAACGCGUGGGAACGUGCCCUCUGGUUCGGAAUAACUCAGGGAAACUUGAGCUAAUACCGGAUACGCCCUUUUGGGGAAAGGCUUGCUGCCGGAGGAUCGGCCCGCGUCUGAUUAGCUAGUUGGUGAGGUAACGGCUCACCAAGGCGACGAUCAGUAGCUGGUCUGAGAGGAUGAUCAGCCACACUGGGACUGAGACACGGCCCAGACUCCUACGGGAGGCAGCAGUGGGGAAUAUUGGACAAUGGGCGCAAGCCUGAUCCAGCCAUGCCGCGUGAGUGAUGAAGGCCUUAGGGUUGUAAAGCUCUUUUAUCCGGGACGAUAAUGACGGUACCGGAGGAAUAAGCCCCGGCUAACUUCGUGCCAGCAGCCGCGGUAAUACGAAGGGGGCUAGCGUUGCUCGGAAUCACUGGGCGUAAAGGGCGCGUAGGCGGCGUUUUAAGUCGGGGGUGAAAGC
rnacentral:rRNA from 1 species